GACGAACGCUGGCGGCGUGCCUAAUACAUGCAAGUCGAACGCAGUGGGGACGGGUGAGUAACACGUGGGUAACCUCCCCUCAGAGGGGAUAACACUUGGAAACAGGUGCUAAACCGAUACUGCUGGAUGGCCCCUCGGGGCAUUCGCUAGUUGGUGAGGUAACGGCUCACCACGGCCACGAUGCAUAGCCGACCUGAGAGGGUGAUCGGCCACACUGGGACUGAGACACGGUCCAGCCUCCUACGGGAGGCAGCAGUGGGGAAUAUUGGACAAUGGGCGAAAGCCGGAUCCAGCCAUGCCGCGUGUGUGAAGAAGGUCUUCGGAUUGUAAAGCACUGUAAGUUGGGAGGCGGUACCAACAGAAUAAGCACCGGCUAACUUCGUGCCAGCAGCCGCGGUAAUUC
rnacentral:rRNA from 1 species